CCUCGCCUUUGCUCCUAGGCCCCAUUGGCAAAUUGCUACAGGCUCACAGCGAUCCGAACCUCUCUGUGCCUCAGUUUCCUCAUCUGUAGAAGGGGAGCAAAAACAGUACCUACCCUCUUGGGGCUGUUGUGAGGAUUAAGUGAGUUAACAUAGGUAAAGCACACAAAACAGUGCCCGGGACAGAGGAAUCAAACCAGGCUAUUUUAGUUUGUGAGAUGGUGAAAUACAUUGAAAGUAGCGAGAGAAAAAAAAAGUGUGAGCGAGAACAUGCCCGCUGCUUCCGCUGGGAUCCUCCCUGGCUGUUCCUGAGUUUUCCAUGGAAAGCACUUAGACGCUCAGAACAAAAGCUAAGUGCCCGUCUUCCUGGAAGGUCAGCCUUGAAGCAAAUUGCAUCUUUGUCACCACCAGUCACAAAGCCCUGCCACCACUUUCGCCUCCUUUUUGAGCAGGAGGACCUUAGGAUCUCAGAGGCCCAUGGACCUUUGGAGGGAUCGAUGUCUGGACACUGGGUUGUGAACUCCUUGGAAGUGCAAUGCAAAAUUUUGAGAUUAAACAGCUUGCCCGAGAUCACAGAGCGAGGAAGUGUCAGAACCGGGCCUCCAAUCCAGGACUGAGGGAUUCCAGAGCCUGACUCCUGUCUACCGUACAAGCUGCUCUUGCUUUGUCACAAGGCAAGUUCUUACUUGACACCCCCAUCUGGGCUGUUGAAAUGGCAUUCUCCUUGGGAGUCUCCAUGCGCAGGCCAUUGAUGCCAAGGGCCCCUACCCCAGGCAGAGACUGCAGCCCAGGCCCUGCCCCAGGAGUGCAGUGUGAGGAGGGGCUGAGAAAGAGCCCUUCUUUGGAAGGAAGAUAAGGAACAAGUGGGACUGAGUCAGGGACUGGGGCUAUCCCAAAAGCAUGCACUCUAAAGGCAUUUAUCCUCUGACCACAGCUAAUGAACCAAUGAGGAAUCAGCAUCAAUAAGAAGCAAAUUAAACACCAGCUCCAGCUAAUUAGUAAGCACAGCUGCCUGCUUUCCUGCAUUCAAUUUCAGACUCACAUUAUGAAUUGCCUCCCUGGAGAAACCGACCCCCUCCUCCCCAAAAAAGGCCUUGAUUCAAUAAACCAACUUUUAAUGGAGCAGCAUCUUUCAAUCGAAGGACGGCAACUUAUCUCUGGGUCCUCGCUCUGCGGUGACACCAAUUCUCCAAGCUGCCCAAUCUCACUCAAGUCUGCUGAACUGAGGAGGCAUGGAAGACAAGCUGCUCCAACCCCUCCUUUGUAGAUGAGGACUCUGAAGUCCAGAGAGGAAGAGUGACCUGCUAAAGGUCACCCAGCAAGUCCAGUGUGCUUCAUACUGAGCAGAAAACCUGCGCUUCUCUCCCUUUCUCAGCCAUGAUGAGAAGGACUCUUGGUAUCAUCUUGGAUCCCUCCCCAAAGAUUCUGGCUCUUUUUGCUGCUGAAAUCAGAAAGAUGAACAAUGAUCGUAUGGUGUAUAGAAUCCAAAACAGCCAGCUUUGCUCUGCUUCCACUAUGAUCAAGCACUUCACAUUCCACAUCAGCUGGACAAAAGACACUGAACCGACACAGCGACAGACUCAUAAACGCUGAAAGAAACCCAAAAUAUCAGGGUCCCCCGUAUAAUAAAUCCUUGAAUACUUCCCUUAAACCGGGACUCUCAACAAAGACGAUUUUAUCCUUGAUUCUUGCUGUGACGAUCUCUGAAGGUACCUUUGUGCAUAUGAUGAGAAAGUUGCUGUUUUCACGCGAUGAGCAGACUAAGGUAAAGCCGGUGAGCUCGGUGACUUUGCAAUUGUCUUCCUUUAAGUAAUUGCCGUGCUUCGGAUUUGAUGAGCCAGUCCUUCUGAAGCCUGACUCCCUUGCACCCUUUGCAAGUAAAAUUUUCUUUCCUAGAUACUUCUGUUUCUGAGUCUUCCUUUGACAGAUGGGAU
rnacentral:lncRNA from 1 species